rnacentral:rRNA from 1 species
GAUGAACGCUAGCGGCAGGCCUAACACAUGCAAGUCGAGGGGUAGAGUUCUUCGGGACUUGAGACCGGCGCACGGGUGCGUAACGCGUAUGCAAUCUACCUUAUACAGGGGAAUAGCCCCAGAGAAAUUUGGAUUAAUGCCCCAUAGUGUUAUCGAAUCGCAUGGUUUGAUAACUAAAGUUCCAACGGUAUAAGAUGAGCAUGCGUCCCAUUAGUUAGUUGGUAAGGUAACGGCUUACCAAGACAAUGAUGGGUAGGGGUCCUGAGAGGGAGAUCCCCCACACUGGUACUGAGACACGGACCAGACUCCUACGGGAGGCAGCAGUGAGGAAUAUUGGUCAAUGGGCGCAAGCCUGAACCAGCCAUGCCGCGUGCAGGAAGACGGUCCUAUGGAUUGUAAACUGC